ensembl:lncRNA
CAAGUCCCCAGGUCAAAGAUCCCCCUCAGGUGGGGACUGGCUUCCCAGAAGCCUCCAAAACAAACAGUGAUAAGCAAAUGAGAUGUAGGAAGCUGGCUGGUAGCCAGCGUGAGGCUGGGUGCCAAGCUUGGGGUGGUGAGGGACCAGAAAAGACCGAGGGCUUCCACCACACCGGCUUGUCGGGGCAGCUCCGGGCUGAACCUCUCCCCCUCCCUCAGCGGCCAUCACCUCUGGGCAGGAUAAGAUGCAGGAGUGGGAACCCAGCCUGCCUGGGUGAAACCCGCCUGGGACCCGGGGCAGGUCAGGCUGGCAGGAGCGCUGUGAGGCUGGCAAAUUCCGUGCAGGAGGGAAACUUGGCCUCACGCCAUCUGCUCACCUGGCGCCAAGGCCCAGGGUGAUGACAGUGGUGGGGAGGAGUGGCUCAGGGUUGCUCGAGGUGCCAGGCAACAGACAACGCCAAGCCUCAGCGUCGCCCGUGCUUUCUGGGCCGCCAAGUCUCCAAGCAUCAGCCCACGCCAAGGAGAGCAGGGUCAACGGCAUGUGAAGUGGUGAGCGACCUACAAAGCUAACUCUGCUCUUGCUGUGGGCCACAGACCUUGGAAGGUGGGGCUUGGGGGUGGGGCGCAAGGACAACUAGCAUUUACUGAGCUUUUACUCUCCGUCAGACUCUAUUGGCUACAGCAUGUAGUAGCUCACAUUUCUCAGCACGACUCCGAGAUUAUGUCCAUUUUACCUCUGGGGAAACUGAGGCUUAUACAUGAUGGGUGGUGGAGGGGGGGCCCACAGCGGAAGGGCACACAGCUGGGGAGGGAUUCACCUGCUGGCCCAGAUGUCUGAGUCAGGCUGUUCCCACUGCCCUCGACUCUGCGUCGUCAAGGAACCUGCCCUCCAGGCCCCAGCCCCAGCCGUGGACCCGCCACUGCACUGCUCCAGCCCCCUUCUGAGGCCCACAGCACCCCCACCUCGUGAUCAAGUCCCCGGGACCCCGCCGAGUGUCCUGUCUCUCCAGGAAGUCGGUCACCCCGCUGUCUGGAGGAAGACAGAGCUGGGAGUGGAAUGUGGACUUCUCUUCUUUCUACCUCUUUCCCUGGGCUGGUUUUCUUCUGGGAAAUCGGGACAUGAGCCAGCUUGUGCGUGAAGCCAAGGCUUGGAUUGGAAGAAAGCACAGAUAAAGGAAUUCCUGGGACUGGGUUGAGCUACUGGCCCGAGCUGAUCCCAAGGGAUGCCCUAUCUCUGGAUUGUCAGCUCUGUGCAACGAUGAAUGUCUUCUGAUUGAAUUGAUUGAAUCCCAGGACUUGCGGGAUCCAACUUCCAGACUGGGGACUGAACCUGUGCUCCCUUCAGCAGUGAAAACCAGGAGUUUCAACCACUGGACCACAGGGAAUUCCCAAGUUUUAGGUUUCUUUUAGCUAUAAACCAUGUAACUGAUGCAUCUGUCAAGAAGUUGCCUAGUUUCACAUCUGCAAAAAAAAAAAAAAAACAGAAAAGAAGCAGAACCACAGACAAGAGGGAAAUGUUUUGUUGACAAGAAUGCCGGGAAAAAGCGUUCAAGCACAUUUAAGGAAGACUUUGUAACUAUAUCUAUGCUAGUUACUUCUCUCCUGAUGAGUGGGAAUGACUAAUGCUAUGAGUGAUGGAAAACUGAAAAGACAAAUUUGAUUAGGUUAAAAUGUUUGGUUAUAUCCAGUGUAUGUCCCAAAUCCCAGAUUUUGACAUUUAAAGAAAGACUUUUUUUUUUUUUAAUUUACCAAUUAUUAUUUUUUUUAUUUGGCUGCACUGGGUCUUGGGUGCAGCACAUGGACUCUUGCAUUACAGCGUGUGAGCUCUCUAGCUGCGUGUGGCAUGAGGGUUUAUUUGCUUUGUGGCUGUGGGAUUUCGGUUCCCUGACCAGGGAUCAAACCUGCAUUCCUGGCAUUGCAAGGAGGCUUCUUAACCACAGGACCAUCAGGAAAGUCCCUAAAGACUUUUAUUGAAAGAGAAAAUUGAGGUUUUUCUUAGGUUAGUAUUAGUGUUAGUUGCUCAGCAUUGUCUGCCUCUUUGCGACCCCACGCACCGUGUAGCCCACCAAGCUCCUCUGUCCAUGGGAUUCUCCAGGCAAGAAUACUGGAGUGAGUUGCCAUUCCCUUCUCCAAGAGAUC